rnacentral:lncRNA from 1 species
AUGCAGACGAGGAAGCAAGCCUUGAGAAAUCCCUGGUACGGACCCCGCCGCCCCGGGCAGCCCAGAGACGGGGCUUCUGGCCGCGUGGGCCCUCCCGCCGCCUGGUCAGGAGGCUGUGCGGUGUCACACUGGCACUGGGGGGGCCCGGCUCUAAGCGCCCCGCCUCCUGGACUCCGCGCCGGGACACCGGGCGGGCGGGGACACGCCGGCCGAGGGAGCACCAGGCUUUCCCUGCCUCCUUCCCACAUCCUUCCCCCGCGCCCCGACGACGGGCCGAGGCAGCCAGAGAGGCCCAGGAAUCCUUUCAACACGCCCGCUGCCCCGGUCUCCGUCUGCCGGUCCCGCAGCAGGCCGGCGCGGUCCACGUCCCCAGGCGGGCAGGAGGCGGAGCUGGGCGGCCCGCGGCGGCGGGAGCGGCGAGCACGCCCCCACGCAGACGCGGGGCGGACGGCGACGCCCGGGCGCGAAGCGGGGAAUGGAGGCGGCCUGACUCCUCUCGCUUCCCGUAGUCCCCACCGCCGGCCGGAGCCAGGACGACGCUCCGCGGCAGACAAACAGCAUCGCGCGAGCAGCGCCUGCGACGCCUCUCCCCGGGUGAGUUGGCGCCGGCCGUCUUCCCGGGGGCCGGCCGAGGGGGACAUUCGGACGUCGCUGUCCCCAACUCAGACUCUGAUGGUGGGACAGUCUCCGGUCACCCCCUCCCCCGGGUUGUCACCGCGGCAGUCGGGGCUGGGUGGCGGGGAAGCUGCCUGUGUGCGCGAGGCGCUCCGGGACGAGCGGCUCCCGGGACUCGGGCCCUCCCGGGACAGCCCUCCGGGCGUCCGGCUGUUGGCCCUGCGGUGGCCCCGCUGCGGACCCGCCCGCCCGGGCUCCCUCCCAGCCCGGGCCGAGCGCCGCUGCACACCGGGCGAUGUGGAGAGGUUUCCUUCCCGUAUUUUCAGUGACACGUUUUUAAAGUUUAAUGACAGACCUCCGGUGCCCUCCCGGACGCUGAACGCGCCCUUUUUUAAGAUGCCAAGUCAUUGA